UGGUUUGUUGAGAAUGUUGACCUUCUUAUCAAUCAUAUCAUAAUAUUAUCAUUGAUACUGCCACGCCGCGAUUGCUAUUACACCGGUAUUAGUACAAAUAAUAUUGCUUCUGGAUCUUCUGUAACUUCAGUGUGCCUUGCUUAGCUAAGUCGAAAUGAUAACUGACGUACAGCUGGCUGUCUUUGCCAACGUUCUGGGAGUAUCCUUGUUCCUGCUUGUAGUAUUAUAUCACUACAUCUCCGCCAACCACACCAAGAGUAGCUGAAAUGCGCAGUUCUGCGGAAGAAUCACCACCCAAAGCAGAACUAAUCAGAAGCAUGGAUAAAGGUUGAUUCCGAUCUUCUGCAACAGCAUGAUCUCUGUCCAAAGCAUUCUUCACUUUCUCUUCUUAAAUUAACUACUUUCCUUUUUACUUAAACAGACUCUUUUAAUGAGGGUAAACUUAAUUUCGAAUUCCUUCUUUUUACUGCAUUUAUCUACUUAUGAUCAGCAUUAUUGAUUUCUGUACACACCCAUCAUUUCCAGGUGGCAGUUACUUACUCAAGUAUUGAAUAAUGUAACUUUUGCUACUUUCUGUUAAAUAAUGAAAUAGAUAUCCUAUACAAAUGAAUGUAAUUUUA